CGCCGAAGGUGGGGUAGAUGAUUGGGGUGAAGUCGUAACAAGGUAGCCGUAUCGGAAGGUGCGGCUGGAUCACCUCCUUU
rnacentral:rRNA from 1 species